rnacentral:rRNA from 1 species
UCGAACGGUGAACACGGAGCUUGCUCUGUGGGAUCAGUGGCGAACGGGUGAGUAACACGUGAGCAACCUGCCCCUGACUCUGGGAUAAGCGCUGGAAACGGCGUCUAAUACUGGAUACGAGUAGCGACCGCAUGGUCAGUUACUGGAAAGAUUUAUUGGUUGGGGAUGGGCUCGCGGCCUAUCAGCUUGUUGGUGAGGUAAUGGCUCACCAAGGCGUCGACGGGUAGCCGGCCUGAGAGGGUGACCGGCCACACUGGGACUGAGACACGGCCCAGACUCCUACGGGAGGCAGCAGUGGGGAAUAUUGCACAAUGGGCGGAAGCCUGAUGCAGCAACGCCGCGUGAGGGAUGACGGCCUUCGGGUUGUAAACCUCUUUUAGCAGGGAAGAAGCGAAAGUGACGGUACCUGCAGAAAAAGCACCGGCUAACUACGUGCCAGCAGCCGCGGUAAUACGUAGGGUGCAAGCGUUAUCCGGAAUUAUUGGGCGUAAAGAGCUCGUAGGCGGUUUGUCGCGUCUGCUGUGAAAUCCGGAGGCUCAACCUCCGGCCUGCAGUGGGUACGGGCAGACUAGAGUGCGGUAGGGGAGAUUUGGAAAUUCCUGGUGUAGCGGUGGAAUGCGCAAUAUAUCAGGAGGAACACCGAUGGCGAAAGGCAGAUCUCCUGGGCUCGUUACUGACGCUGAAGGAGCGAAAGGGUGGGGAGCAAACAGGCUUAAACACCCUGGAAGUCCACCCCGUAAACGUUGGGAACUAGUUGUGGGGGCCAUUCCCCCGGAUUCCGUGAAGCAGCUAACGCUUAAGUUCCCCCCCUGGGGAAUACGGCCCGC